CCUGAUGCAGCAACGCCGCGUGAGGGAUGACGGCCUUCGGGUUGUAAACCUCUUUUAGCAGGGAAGAAGCGUGAGUGACGGUACCUGCAGAAAAAGCGCCGGCUAACUACGUGCCAGCAGCCGCGGUAAUACGUAGGGCGCAAGCGUUAUCCGGAAUUAUUGGGCGUAAAGAGCUCGUAGGCGGUUUGUCGCGUCUGCUGUGAAAUCCCGAGGCUCAACCUCGGGUCUGCAGUGGGUACGGGCAGACUAGAGUGCGGUAGGGGAGAUUGGAAUUCCUGGUGUAGCGGUGGAAUGCGCAGAUAUCAGGAGGAACACCGAUGGCGAAGGCAGAUCUCUGGGCCGUAACUGACGCUGAGGAGCGAAAGGGUGGGGAGCAAACAGGCUUAGAUACCCUGGUAGUCCACCCCGUAAACGUUGGGAACUAGUUGUGGGGUCCUUUCCACGGAUUCCGUGACGCAGCUAACGCAUUAAGUUCCCCGCCUGGGGAGUACGGCCGCAAGGCUAAAACUCAAAGGAAUUGACGGGGACCCGCACAAGCGGCGGAGCAUGCGGAUUAAUUCGAUGCAACGCGAAGAACCUUACCAAGGCUUGACAUACACGAGAACACUCUAGAAAUAGGGGACUCUUUGGACACUCG
rnacentral:rRNA from 1 species